CACGUAGGGUGCAAGCGUUGUCCGGAAUCAUUGGGCGUAAAGAGCUCGUAGGCGGCUUAGUAAGUCGGGUGUGAAAACCCCAGGCUCAACCUGGGGACGCCACCCGAUACUGCUAUAGCUAGAGUCCAGUAGGGGAGUGUGGAAUUCCCGGUGUAGCGGUGAAAUGCGCAGAUAUUGGGAGGAACACCAGCGGCGAAGGCGGCACUCUGGGCUGGUACUGACGCUGAGGAGCGAAAGCGUGGGUAGCGAACAGG
rnacentral:rRNA from 1 species